rnacentral:rRNA from 1 species
UACGUAGGGGGCAAGCGUUAUCCGGAUUUAUUGGGCAUAAAGGGCGUGUAGGUGGUACUUUAAGUCAGUUGUUAAAUGCAUUGGCUUAACUGAUGUUUGCAUCUGAAACUGAAGUACUAGAGGUUAGUAGAGGAAAGCGGAACUCACAGUGUAGCGGUGAAAUGCGUAGAUAUUGUGAGGAACACCAGUUGCGAAGGCGGCUUUCUGGACUGAUCCUGACACUGCGGCGCGAAAGCGUGGGGAGCAAACGGA